rnacentral:rRNA from 1 species
GAUGAACGCUGACAGAAUGCUUAACACAUGCAAGUCGACUCGAGUCUUCGGACUUGGGUGGCGCACGGGUGAGUAACGCGUAAAGAACUUGCCUCUUAGACCGGGACAACAUCUGGAAACGGAUGCUAAUACCGGAUAUUAUGGUUUUUUCGCAUGGAGGAAUCAUGAAAGCUAGAUGCGCUAAGAGAGAGCUUUGCGUCCCAUUAGCUGGUUGGUGAGGUAACGGCCCACCAAGGCAAUGAUGGGUAGCCGGCCUGAGAGGGUGAACGGCCACAAGGGGACUGAGACACGGCCCUUACUCCUACGGGAGGCAGCAGUGGGGAAUAUUGGACAAUGGACCACAAGUCUGAUCCAGCAAUUCCGUGUGCACGAUGACGUUUUUCGGAAUGUAAAGUGCUUUCAGUCGGGAAGAAGUCAGUGACGGUACCGACAGAAGAAGCGACGGCUAAAUACGUGCCAGCAGCCGCGGUAAUACGUAUGUCGCAAGCGUUAUCCGGAUUUAUUGGGCGUAAAGCGCGUCUAGGCGGCAAGGAAAGUCUGAUGUGAAAAUGCGGAGCUCAACUCCGUAUGGCGUUGGAAACUGCCUUACUAGAGUACUGGAGAGGUAGGCGGAACUACAAGUGUAGAGGUGAAAUUCGUAGAUAUUUGUAGGAAUGCCGAUGGGGAAGCCAGCCUACUGGACAGAUACUGACGCUAAAGCGCGAAAGCGUGGGUAGCAAACAGG